AAUUCCAGCUCCCCACAAUGGUCACAAGAACUGUCUGCUGGCCUCAAGGACCCCCACAGCAAAGACUUCAUCCAAAUAUUGAAGAUUUUAAGAACAAGAACUCAGCUUCUCUAAAGAAAAAUGAAUUUUGCUUCAUACAUCCAGUGUACAAAGUCUAUUGGUGAAGACCUUGAGGACUAUGUUGGCAAAGCAGCACACUAUCCACUAUUCCACAGGCUCGUGUCUUUCUUAUUUUUCAAUGGUGAUGACAUUCUUACCUUAGGAGGCUGAUACACCUGCCUUACACCUACACCUGGCACAGCACCUAGCAAUUAGUGUCAUCAUUACUACUGCUGAAGGUCAUGGAAGUAGUUAAUGUUGGGAAAUGAUUAAAAGCAGUAAAGGCCCUGCCUGGUAAC